rnacentral:rRNA from 1 species
GUCUACAGCCAUACCACUCUUAACCUGCCUGAUCUCAUCUGAUCUCAGAAGAAAUGAUCAACAGAGUUAAGAGACAAAAAGUAGAAAGAGAAAAUAUUUGCAAUCUAUUUAUCUGACAAAGGACC